rnacentral:lncRNA from 1 species
UGUCAUUGGACUACAACCUCCACGGAGCCUUCCAGCUGCUGGAGGCUCUGCGCCAGGCAGUGCAGCGGAGGCGGCAGCGCAGGCCCCACUGAUGGCCGGGGCCCCUGCCACCCCUAACUCUCAUUCAUUCCCUGGCUGCUGAGUUGCAGGUGGGAACUGUCAUCACGCAGUGCUUCAGAGCCUCGGGCUCAGGUGGCACGGUCCCAGGGUCCAGGCUGAGGGCUGGGAGCUCCCUUGCGCCUCAGCAGUUUGCAGUGGGGUAAG